CUCACUCACACUUACACCAACGUGAGACCAGCCAGCAUACCAGUCCCCUCAACUACUCAGAGACAUCGGAAGACGACCGGAACGUCGGCGGUUCCACAAGAGCGGUCUCACACCAGGACAGUGGCCAGCAACGGCCCAUCCAUGGCCCACACACAGGGCUCCUGCACCAGGCCUCCAGAGUUGGCGUGGGGUGAACCAUACGAACUGCUUUGCAACACACUAAAGCAGGUUCAGUCCAAAAUGAAACUCUGCUAUAGACUAAUUACUCAAG